UACAGAGGGUGCAAGCGUUAAUCGGAAUUACUGGGCGUAAAGCGCGCGCAGGCGGCUUUGCAAGACAGAUGUGAAAUCCCCGGGCUCAACCUGGGAACUGCAUUUGUGACUGCAAGGCUAGAGUACGGCAGAGGGGGAUGGAAUUCCGCGUGUAGCAGUGAAAUGCGUAGAUAUGCGGAGGAACACCAAUGGCGAAGGCAAUCCCCUGGGCCUGUACUGACGCUCAUGCACGAAAGCGUGGGGAGCAAACAGG
rnacentral:rRNA from 1 species